AGCGGUCUGCAGCACGCGCUGGGUUCUAUAUUUCCUUGUACCAAUGCUCAUUGAGCUCGGACUAGAAACAUUGCAUGGCAGGUGUGAGCGUCUCGCGUCAGAUGAACCCGAAGCCAUGACUGAUCUGGCCCACCUGUACCCUUCGGUUCAGGAAUGCGACCCGGCGGUGUUUGCAGACACCCU
rnacentral:other from 1 species